rnacentral:rRNA from 1 species
GACGAACGCUGGCGGCGUGCUUAACACAUGCAAGUCGAACGGAAAGGCCCCCUUGUGGGGUACUCGAGUGGCGAACGGGUGAGUAACACGUGAGUAACCUACCCUUGACUUUGGGAUAACUUCAGGAAACUGGGGCUAAUACCGGAUAGGAGCUCCUGCUGCAUGGUGGGGGUUGGAAAGUUUCGGCGGUUGGGGAUGGACUCGCGGCUUAUCAGCUUGUUGGUGGGGUAGUGGCUCACCAGGGCUUUGACGGGUAGCCGGCCUGAGAGGGUGACCGGCCACAUUGGGACUGAGAUACGGCCCAGACUCCUACGGGAGGCAGCAGUGGGGAAUAUUGCACAAUGGGCGGAAGCCUGAUGCAGCAACGCCGCGUGCGGGAUGACGGCCUUCGGGUUGUAAACCGCUUUCGCCUGUGGCGAAGCGUGAGUGACGGUAAUGGGUAAAGAAGCACCGGCUAACUACGUG